GACGCUUGUGGGAUUGUUCGAUGGCCUGGUUAUGACUCGCUAAUCGAUGUGUGGGUUGCCGGUAGGUGUUCUUCCUCCCCUUGGACACCGUUGGUAUGCCGGCGACCCGUUUUCAAGGCAACGCUUUUCAGGACCCGAGACAAACGAAGCGUUGCCUUGAUCGACGGUUUAGGUGGGUGGGAAGCGAUGCACGAUGUCGGGUUUUUGGUCUUACCAAGCCAUGAACCGUACACGAUGUCGUGUUUUUGCCUUACGAAGCCAUGAAUGGCCAGACGUUACGAUCGGUUGCUCGGUAAGAAAGUCCAACGACGUGGUGUUGCCUGGCAACACCUCGGAGAUGGCAAAUCGUUGGGUUCGAUAAUGAUUUUCGCAUCGUUCGGUGCUUUCCAUGGAACUACUUCCGGCUAAUGGUUGCAUGCUUAGUCGUUAUGCUAGGGAUGUGGCGAUUUGUCGGGUGGUUUUGAGGAUCGUCUACCGUAAAGGUGCAUGAGUUGUGUUUGGUUUGUGAUGUGUCGUUGGAUGUCUGCUUGCGCAGCAACGUCGACACACGCAGACCUCUUCAUCGUUUGCGAAGGCAUGGUUGCUUUUGCAUGUUGUCGGUUUCCUGUGCUGUUUUCCUAAAUCGUGGUAUUCUGUCGUUUGAACAAUGCAUCGUUAAUCAUGUGUCACACGUGUGUGGCAUGUGAGAACCAUGAAGCUUUCUUUUCGAUCCGUUUUGUCUUUGUCGUUCAAAUGACGUUUCGGCCCGAUGAGAUAGCUGGCCUCAUGGAUGUGGUGCGUGACACGGUGAUCGGUGCUUCGGACAUGUUGGUUGCCAUAACUAGAUGUUGACUCUCCUUGAUAUGACCGUCCAUUGUG
rnacentral:misc_RNA from 1 species